AUUGAACGCUGGCGGCAGGCCUAACACAUGCACGUCGAACGAGUGGCGGACGGGUGAGUAAUGUCUGGGAAACUGCCUGAUGGCGGGGGAUAACUACUGGAAACGGUAGCUAAUACCGCAUACCAUCAGAUGUGCCCAGAUGGGAUUAGCUAGUAGGUGGGGUAAUGGCUCACCUAGGCGACGAUCCCUAGCUGGUCUGAGAGGAUGACCAGCCACACUGGAACUGAGACACGGUCCAGACGCCUACGGGAGGCAGCAGUGGGGAAUAUUGCACAAUGGGCGCAAGCCUGAUGCAGCCAGGCCGCGUGUGUGAAGAAGGCCUUCGGGUUGUAAAGUACUUUCAGCGGGGAGGCGUUACCCGCAGAAGAAGCACCGGCUAACUCCGUGCCAGCAGCCGCGGUAAUAC
rnacentral:rRNA from 1 species